UCUCAGCUUUGCACAGUGGCAGUAUUGUAGCCAGUGAGGUUCAUCCGAGGCACAAUUAUUGGCUAAUUAAACUAUCUCACUGACCAAGGCUACCUAUAACUCAUAUAAACAAAGUGUUUUUCCUUUAUCUUGGUUGAACCUAGGGCUUAAGAAUUCCUUGAUGUUCCAUGACUUGGAUACAUUAAGGCAAUCUAUUGAUGGUAAACUUUUAUCAGAUGCCAAUGUAGUCUCCCAAGAUUUCCUGGAGGGGAAAUGGAUAACAACACUGAACUUACUGACUCCAAUUAGAACAGCCUAUUUUGGUUCCUGUGUAAUACUCUCAAGAAAGAGUCUACUUCCUUUGUCCCCAUACAGGAUGAAUUUGUUUCUCCAUCACUUCUGCUUUAUUAUUUCACUCCCUCCAGACAUAAGUCAUAAUUAAAGAUAAUGCAUUUUUCUCUGAGUAAAGGAAAUUACAUUAUAUUACAUAAAUAAAUGAAGCUUUAAUUUUGUUCUCCAUAUUUCUCAACAGCUUUGCAGAUGGUAUUAAGAAACAGGGCAUCUGUGUCUCCCUGUGGAAAAACCCAGGCUCUUCUGGAACUGUGGGCUCCUUGUGUUGCUGUCAUGUAAUCAAGAAGCUAGAGGUAGCAGAACCCAAUCCUUACACCCAAAACACUAGCCAAGGGCAUCUUUCUCUCUUGCAUCUAGCUAUGACUCCAAAAGAGAAGAGCAAAUGGUCGCUACAUGCAAAACAAGUUGCCAACCACCAUAGGUUUUGUCUUUCAAAUUAUCAAAUAUAUGUAUACAUACUGAGACAGAGUUUCACUCUUGUUGCCCAGGCUACAGUGCAAUGGUGUGAUUUCAGCUCACUGCAACCUCCACCUCCCAGGUUCAAGCGAUUCUCAUGCCUCAGCCUCCCGAGUAGCUGGGAUUACAGGUGCCCACCACCAUGCAUGGCUAAUUUUUGCAUUUUCAGUAGAGAUGGGGUUUCACCAUGUUAGUCAAGCUGGUCUCGAACUCCUGACUUCAGGUGAUCCACCCAAAAGUGCUGGGAUUACAGGCGUGAGCCACCGCACCCAGCCAAAUUAUCAAAUAUUUUUUAAAAGUGUUAUAUCCAGUUUUCGCAGGGCUACAAUGAGAGAUAUUCUCAUAUACAGUUUGGUGGGAUGUGUGGAGGAAAGAUGGUAAGAAAUAUUUUUGCAUAUUUAUGUGGUAGAAUAUUGUAUGUCCAUUGAAUAUAAAAUUAUAGAAGAAUAUUUAAUGUAAUGGGAAAUAUUCAUGUGAAAUGAAAAAGCAGAUUAUAAAAUAGCAUCUCUAGUAUAUUUUUGUUAAAAUUAUAAAAAUUGUCAGUAAUAUAUAGAUGGAUUCUACACAUUUAUAACAGUUUUAGUAUCAGGUGGUUUUUAAAUUUUAUUUGUGUUUUUGUAUUUUCCAAAUUUUCUACAAUGACUAUGGUAUUUUUUUUAAGAGAUGGAGUCUCACUCUGAUGCCCAGGCUGAAGUGUAAUGGUAUGAUCAUGGCUUACUGUCGCCUCAAAUUCCCAGGCUCAAGUGAUCCUUCCACCUCAGCCUCUUGAGUAGCUGGGCCUACAGGCACAUGCCAUUACCCUUGGCAAUUUUAUUUUUGGUAGAGACAGAGUUUUGCCGUGUUGCCCAGGCUGGUCUCAAACUCCUGAGCUCAAGUGAUACUCCUGCCUUGGCCUCCCAAAGUGCUAGGAGUAUAGGCAUGAGCCACCACACUUGGUCUAGUAUUGCUUUUGAUUUCACACUAAAAAACAUAACAAGAGAGCAUGCUUGACUUCUGGCAAACCCUAAUCCCAGGAGAAUAUUCUACUUGUAUGCUUUCUUUUAUAUAAAUAAAUGCUGUCCUGGUUGCAUUUAGAAUCCAUACAUUCAUUCAUUCAUUUGUUCAUUAAUUCAGCAAAUAUUAGUUUAGCUCUUACUUUGUACCGGAACAUCCCUAAAUGCUGGGAAUAGUGAGGGAAACAAGGUAAAGUCCUUGCUCUUUUGGAGCUGGUGUUUUAGUUAGGGAAGGCAGUCAACAAACAGGAAGACAAACAAGUGAGACAGUGUUUGAUAGUGUCAGGUGUUCUGAAGAAAAUAAAACAGGGUGAUAGCAUGAGAGGGAGCAAACAGGUAGAUUGGAGGAAUUACUCAGAAUUAGGCACUGAGGGAAGACCUUCCAAGGAGCUGAAAUUUGAGCUAAAACUUAAAGAAAAGAAACAGCCAUACAAAGACCAGAGAGAAGACCCUCCUGGGUGGGGGAAACAGCUCUUGCAAAGGUCCUUGAGAUUGCCAUGAGCUCAGCCUAUUCAAGGGAGAACGGGAAACAGUCUGAGGGGUGGGCAGGAGGCAAAGCAAGAAGGGCUUCAUAGGCCAGAGGAAGGAGCUGAGAUUUUAACAUAAGUAGAUCUGAGCUCCACUUACCAAAAUAAUCCCCUGGCUACUGUAUGGAAAAUAUGGAUGAGAGGAUGGGGAUAGGAGUGGAAGCAGAGAACCCCUCAGGCGAUAACUGCACAUCCAGUAGACAGAGAUGAGGGGCUGCACAUGGCUUGGGUGGCCAUGGAAAUACAUUUGGGUUAUACUGAAAAGGUUAGGAUUUUACAGAUGAAUUUGACAAUUCAAUAUCUUAUGACCACUGGGCAAUGGGAGAAGUUUGACGGGAAAGGCAAGCAUUUACAAGUCUGACUCUACUAAGAGCCUGUUCUGGAAAGAGAACAUGGCCCCAGGGGACAUAAGACAUGAAGGAUGACCCACGUGGACUGUCAAUCAGCAAGCAGGGGCACGUCCCCAGCCACAGGGUCAGAGUCAGAAGCCCGGUCUAGCCCCAGAGACAAGGGCUGUCAAGGUCCUGAGGGAGCAGAGUGCUGGGGGUCAGGGCGGGGACCAGGGCAGGGACUCAGGAAAGGGAAGGUGGGCAUGAGAGCCAGAGAGCAGGACAGAGCAACAGAGAGAGCAAACUAAGGGCCCAUCCAAAGGGCUGGGCUUGGGCUUCUCAGUUCCCUCCCCAGUAAGGGUACAAUUGGUCCUAGAGCUGGGGUGGGGCCAAGCCUGUAUUUAGGGGCCAAUUUGUUCAGCUAGGCCAAGGUGCUAGGCAGGUACUGAGAAGACCACAGAUCACAAGGGAUGCUCUAUUUUUUAAAUAUGGAUAACCCUUUCCUUAAUAACAAAAUUUCCAGCCUAUGUUCCGAUUAUCAAGUGAGUCAUUCUGAAAACCCUGUUUAUUUCUCUUUCACCCAAAGCAUCUGCCCAUUAUCACAUUUCUAAUGUUGAAGUGGAGAUAUGAGGAUUUUGAAAGUUCCCAAUUGGAUGCCUCUAAAGGAAGUGAGGGCUCUUUCAAGGGAAAUUCAGCAGUAUCUGGAGACAUUUUUGGUUGUCAAGACCAGUGGGGUCCUUCUGGCAUCUACUGGAUAGAAGCCAUGGAAGCUACUAAACAUCCUACAAUGCACAGGAAUCCCACAAAAAGAACUGUCUAGCUCAAGAGCCCACUGAUUUUAUGUCAGACACUCCAAUGGGACUAAAAAGGAACAAAUGCCCUCAAGGCAGCUCAAGGCACUGAUAUCCAGUAGGGCACACAGAAAAGUGGGCACACAAUUCAAUCAGCAGAGGCAGAACUUUGUCAUCGCCUCUGUGAUCCCACUGCCAUCUCCCCAGUGGACUGUGAGCCUCCAGAAGAGAGAGCAUCUUCAUGUCUUCAUCUUUAUAGUCCACAGGAACUUGGACAUGGUAAGUGUGGUCUACAGGGUGUACAACUUGUAUUUGUCACAAUUGUUGCAUUAAGGAAUGAAUGAAUUCCCAGCCUCUUUAAGUUUGGCUCUAGCACAGAAAUAAAAAGAAAUGAAACAUUAAAAUAUAGAGAUGAAACAAAAUUCUUCAUAGUGCAUGCACUCAAAAGCCCAGAAACAAGGCCCAUUCACAAAGAUGAAAACAUCUUCUUUGUUUAGAGCUCUAAUCUGUCUCUCUUCUCUUUAUAAAUCUGAGAAGUGUAAAUCUAUAUAAUAGGUAUCUAUCUAAUGAAAUGCCUGAAUCCCAUUGCUUGACAUUCAAAGACAAGGGCCAUGGAGCAGAAUUUGACUAGUAACAGAGGUACAAUGGUAUCCAGAACACAGAGCUAUGUCUCCAGUGGAUAUCAUACGGUACCUAAGAUAAUUUUGCUCUUACUCUAAAUUGAGAGAAUCACUGUAUUUAUUGAAAAAUUAACAAUAUUGUUGUUUCUACUUCUCUUGCUUUUUAAUUGAGUCUAUAUCAUGAAAGUUGUCAUGACUUGUCUGAACUUUAAAACCCACAAAGAUGUUCUAGCAGGGGACAAAUCUCCUGGAGAAAAUAAUUUUAUUAGAUAUCGAUAGAGCUAUUGUGGACUUCCGAAGAGAGAGAUCUAUCAGUUUGGCUUUACAGCUGGUAAAAUAAUUGAAGAUGGUUCUUUAAAACAACUGGGAAAAUUGAAAAGGUAGCUUAUGCAUUCCUAUCCUGUCAUGAAAUUCUUUAAAUUAUUUUGCAGUUAAUUACAAUGGUUUGUCUAUUGUCCAUACAGUUGCUAUGUCAAAAACACACCUAAUAUUUAGCAGUGGAACCUCAUUAUAGAAAAUGGAGCAAAACAGAUGUCCCUAACUGAAUGGGAUGAAGAGUAUGGAAGAAAGUUUGACCAGGUUCCCUUUCACAUCUUGGGGGAUCAUAAGGCAGCAGGCCUAGGGUUCCGUAUUCCCCAUAAUAAUCAUUCAACCCAUCUGGGCCUCCAAAUUGCAUUCCCAUCUAAGCUUCCAUCUUUGCAGACAAGGUACAGUCACAAUUCCAGUUGUGAGAUGUCCCUUCUCUUUUCUUCUCUAUUAGCCACACCCUCCUUCAUUUAAACUUGGGAUAAUCAUGACCUUCAGAAAAAAUGAUUUUCACUCAAAGCAAUAUUCCAAGCAUAUAGGAAGAAACUCAGAAAACCCUUAGUGACCAGAAAUUAAAACUGCUUUUCUUUCAUUUGCAAAACACACAAAAACAGAUAAUCUCCUGAAAAACACAGACAAGCAACAUGGACCCAGAGGCCCUUAGGCUAAGGAAAUUCAUUUGGCAUGGAACUUACAGAGUUCAUUGUUAAGAUAGAUAACAAAAGCCAUUUAUAACAAGAGUGUUCUCAUUAUCAUCAUCUCUUGUAGCCCAGUUGAAGACAAGUAGUGUCUUCUAAGAUCCCAUCUUUCAUACUUUGCACACUUUUCCUCCACCCAUGGAAUUUUGGGCAUCCAGUUGCCUAGUUCUCCUUCUAACCAUCAAAGCUGCCUUUCAGGAAAAGAUUUACUAGAAUUUUUUAUGUGUCACUGCAAAUUGGUUGCUGCUACCUAUCUCAAGGGUAUCUGCAUUCCAAGCCAUAUCCUUAUUAUAGACUAAGAAGUUUUCUCCUGUGAAAUAAAUUCUUGACUUGAAGCUGGAGGUGAAGGUGAUCUUUUGGGGACAGAGUGAUCUGCCCUCUUGAAACUGCCCAGUAUCCAGAUUUUCAACGAUGAAACCAGAAUCACAAAGUUAAGAAAAAGCAUGUUUGUAUUCAAAGGUUCCAAUAAGUUUAUUUUGUGUGCAUUUGUUUUCAAUUUAAUUAAUUUCAUCAACUUAAUUUAAACAAAUCUUUGAAAUUAAUAAAAUGUGAGAUGUCUGCAGGUGUUUGCAGCAA